AGAGUUUGAUCAUGGCUCAGGAUGAACGCUAGCGGCAGGCUUAACACAUGCAAGUCGAGGGGUAACAUUGGUGCUUGCACUAGAUGACGACCGGCGCACGGGUGAGUAACGCGUAUACAAUUUACCUUAUACAGGGGGAUAGCCUUUAGAAAUGAAGAUUAAUACCCCAUGGUAUUGAGAUGUGGCAUCACAACUUAAUUAAAGAUUUAUUGGUAUAAGAUGAGUAUGCGUCCUAUUAGCUAGAUGGUAUAGUAAAGGUUUACCAUGGCAACGAUAGGUAGGGGUCCUGAGAGGGAGAUCCCCCACACUGGUACUGAGACACGGACCAGACUCCUACGGGAGGCAGCAGUGAGGAAUAUUGGACAAUGGAGGCAACUCUGAUCCAGCCAUGCCGCGUGAAGGAAGACGGCCCUAUGGGUUGUAAACUUCUUUUAUAGAGGAAGAAACCCCCGAACGUGUUCGGGGCUGACGGUACUCUACGAAUAAGCACCGGCUAACUCCGUGCCAGCAGCCGCGGUAAUACGGAGGGUGCAAGCGUUAUCCGGAAUCAUUGGGUUUAAAGGGUCCGUAGGCGGGCAAUUAAGUCAGAGGUGAAAUCCCACAGCUCAACUGUGGAACUGCCUUUGAUACUGAUUGUCUUGAAUUAUAGUGAAGUAGAUAGAANNUGUAGUGUAGCGGUGAAAUGCAUAGAUAUUACAUAGAAUACCGAUUGCGAAGGCAGUCUACUAACUAUAUAUUGACGCUNAUGGACGAAAGCGUGGGGAGCGAACAGGAU
rnacentral:rRNA from 1 species